GCGAGGGUGGCGGAAUUGGUAGACGCGCUAGCUUCAGGUGUUAGUGUUCUUACGGACGUGGGGGUUCAAGUCCCCCCUUCGCACCA
rnacentral:tRNA from 2 species